UUGCUUUCAUAUUUGGCAUGUAGGUACCUUGCAUGGACCUCUACCUUUUGAUGAGGUUUGAGGUCUCUGGGGUCAAGGUCAAGGUCACCGAGGCUAAUAAUAGACUUCCUUCCGUCACACUUUUGCUACCGUUUCUCAUAGCGCCUUCAAUACUUUACCAAUCGCUUUCAUAUUUGGCAUGUAGGUACCUUGCAUGGACCUCUACCUUUUGAUGAGGUUUGAGGUCACUGGGGUCAAGGUCAAGGUCAACGAGGCUAAUAAUAGACUUCCUUCUGUCACACUUUUGCUACCGUUUCUCAUAGCGCCUUUAAUACUUAACCAAUCGCUUUCAUAUUUGGCAUGUAGGUACCUUGCAUGGACCUCUACCUUUUGAUGAGGUUUGAGGUCACUGGGUCAAGGUCACCGAGGCUAAUAGAUAUUUUAGGUGUUUAUUAACACAUACAUUGACAAAGCGCAUCAUCGGGGAGCAUCCAUCAGUUUUACUGAUAUUCU